AAGGCUAGCAACAGUGGGGAAUUUUCUGCAAUGGACGAAAGCCUGACGGAGCAAUGCCGCGUUGAGGUAGAAGGCCCACGGGUCGUGAACUUCUUUUCCCGGAGAAGAAGCAAUGAAGGUAUUUGGGGAAUAAGCAUCGGCCAACUCUGUGCCAACAACCGCGGUAAUAAUGAGGAUGCAAGCGUU
rnacentral:ncRNA from 1 species